UAUGACAUAAUCGUGGGAAAGUAUCAGCUCUUUGAGGUCAGUCCACAUGAGAAUUUAGUCUCGGUAAAAAAAUCAUUAUUCAUCCCCAGUAUAACCAAACAAGCUUCAGAAGGGACAUUGCUCUGGUCAGGUUGUCCAGCCCGGUCAACUACACUAACUACAUCCUGCCAAUCUGCCUGCCGGGUUCAUCAGUCGUCUUCCCAACUGGUUUGGAAUGCUGGGCAACCGGAUGGGGUAAUAUGAACUCAGAAGGUCAGUACCAAAUUUCCAUUACACCUACUACCAGAAUUAAUUGGUUUCUCAC